GAAAUUUGCAAAUCAUAAAGUGAUAAAUCUCAUAUUCUAUCUCUUACAUGCAAAGGGAAUAAAACAUGGCUCAAAUUGUCAAGCUUGUUUAUGUUAUGAUUAUCUUUAUUUCUCUAUUUUUUGUUGCAAUAAACGUUGACGCAAUUCCCUUUCGUGUAUGUUUUCACAAUCGUGAUUGUCCAAGAAAUAUGUGUCUGCCUUCUAUACCUUAUUGUCGAUUUAGAGAGAAAAAUGUUAGAUUUGGAUCUCCAUUAGGCUUGUGCUCGUGUGAUUGACCGAUGUACCCAUAAUAUUCUACUCGAAAAUUCCACGAGUUGUCAUUUCAUAACGGUAUUGGCACCCAAUAAUUUGUAUUUUUUUUAUUUUCUAUUUUCGCAGAUCAUAUAGUUAUGGUUAUUUAUUCUAAGAUGAUUGUAAUGAAAUGAAAUAGGGAAGUAGAAAUUUGAUUUAAAUUUUUUUGAAUGGAGAAAAUAGACAUUAAUGUUUAGAUUGUCA